rnacentral:rRNA from 1 species
GCCAGCAGCCGCGGUAAUACAUAAGGAGCAAGCGUUAUCCGGAAUUAUUGGGCGUAAAGAGCUCGUAGGCGGUCUUAAAAGUCAGGUGUGAAAUCAUCAGGCUCAACCUGAUAAGGUCAUCUGAAACUUUAAGACUUGAGGAUAGAAGAGGAAAGUGGAAUUCCCGGUGUAGCGGUGAAAUGCGUAGAUAUCGGGAGGAAUACCAGUGGCGAAGGCGGCUUUCUGGUCUAUUUCUGACGCUGAGGAGCGAAAGCUAGGGGAGCAAACGGGAUUAGAUACCCCGGUAGUCCUAGCUGUAAACGAUGGAUACUAGGUGUGGGAGGGAUCGACCCCUUCUGUGCCGCAGCUAACGCAUUAAGUAUCCCGCCUGGGGAAUACGGGCCCCAGGCUGAAACUCAAAAGAAUUGACGGGGGCC